UUAAUGUCGAUAUUGGGGCGAACCCUUCUGCUGAAGGUGGUGACGAAGACGAAGGCGUAGAUGAUCAAGCUGUCAAGGUUGUGGACAUUGUAGACACUUUCCGGCUUCAAGAGCAGCCUCCUUUCGACAAAAAACAGUUCAUAGCAUACGUGAAGAAGUAUAUCAAGAACUUGACCCCGAAGCUUGAACCUGAGAAACAAGAGCAGUUCAAGAAGGGCAUUGAAGGAGCUACAAAAUACCUUGUCUCAAAGCUAAAGGACUUUCAAUUGUAAGUAGAUUCAGCUUUUCCUUCUGCUAUAGUAGCUACAAUUCUGCAAUGUUUUUCUGCAGUGAACACAAACCAUAUAAGCAUAUAAUAUUUUGUUUCAUUGCAGC
rnacentral:lncRNA from 1 species